rnacentral:rRNA from 1 species
AUGGUACGGCGGGCUAAGAAGGUCCUAAAUGACAAGGCACAACCAGCACCAAACUGUGUAAACUUCUCAAGCUACAAGCAGCUCGUGUGGGGUGACAUCCCAGAAUUAAUCAAGCCGUCUUCAGGGAGCUCUGCAACAUGCUGGAUCCAGGGAAGCUGGUCUUCAACCCCCAAAAGGGAAAGCCCAGCGUCGUCAUGUCCUGGUUCAAGAGGCCCAUCAUCUACGACGUUCGCGCGUGACCCAACCUCAUCGAGAGCACCUCCGGGAGCCGGGAUCUCCAGAUGCCAUGGGCAAGGGACAAGACUUGCAUCAACAUCGUGGUCAUUGGCGAUGUCGACCACCACUAGCCAUCUGAUCUACAAGCUUGGAGGUAUUGACAAGCGUGUCAUCGAGAGGUUUUAG